UACGUAGGAUGCAAGCGUUGUUCGGAAUUACUGGGCGUAAAGAGCGCGCAGGCGGUCGAUCAAGUCGAGUGUGAAAGCCCCCGGCUCAACUGGGGAGGGUCAUUCGAUACUGAUCGACUCGAAGGCAGGAGAGGGUAGUGGAAUUCCCGGUGUAGUGGUGAAAUGCGUAGAUAUCGGGAGGAACACCAGUGGCGAAGGCGACUACCUGGCCUGUUCUUGACGCUGAGGCGCGAAAGCUAGGGGAGCAAACGGG
rnacentral:rRNA from 1 species